UCUCCGUAGGUGAACCUGCGGAGGGAUCAUUACAGAGUUCAUGCUCUACCGGGUAGAUCUCCCACCCUAUGUUAUUAUUACUUUGUUGCUUUGGCGGGCCGUUAGGCUCCGGCCCGACUACCGGCCCCGGCUGGUAAGCGCCCGCCAGAGGACCCAAAACCCUGAAUAUUAGUGUCGUCUGAGUACUAUAUAAUAGUUAAAACUUUCAACAACGGAUCUCUUGGUUCUG
rnacentral:misc_RNA from 1 species